AGAAACUUAGGUUAACUACAGACCAAGAGCCUUCAAAGCCCUAAGUAAGCACAGAACGCUUAGUUUCUG
rnacentral:tRNA from 1 species